rnacentral:tRNA from 1 species
AAGGGCUUAGCUUAAUUAAAGCAAUUGGUUUGCAUUCAAUUGAUGUAGGAUAGAGUCU